rnacentral:rRNA from 1 species
UGGCGGACGGGGGAGUAAUGUCUGGGAAACUGCCUGAUGGAGGGGGAUAACUACUGGAAACGGUAGCUAAUACCGCAUAACGUCGCAAGACCAAAGAGGGGGACCUUGGGCCUCUUGCCAUCGGAUGUGCCCAGAUGGGAUUAGCUAGUAGGUGGGGUAAAGGCUCACCUAGGCGACGAUCCCUAGCUGGUCUGAGAGGAUGACCAGCCACACUGGAACUGAGACACGGUCCAG